rnacentral:rRNA from 1 species
AACGAACGCUGGCGGCAGGCUUAACACAUGCAAGUCGAGCGCCCCGCAAGGGGAGCGGCCGACGGGUGAGUAACGCGUGGGAACGUACCUUUUGGUUCGGAACAACUCCGGGAAACUGGAGCUAAUACCGGAUAAGCCCUAACGGGGAAAGAAUUAUCGCCGAAAGAUCGGCCCGCGUCUGAUUAGCUAGUUGGUGAGGUAACGGCUCACCAAGGCGACGAUCAGUAGCUGGUCUGAGAGGAUGAUCAGCCACACUGGGACUGAGACACGGCCCAGACUCCUACGGGAGGCAGCAGUGGGGAAUAUUGGACAAUGGGCGCAAGCCUGAUCCAGCCAUGCCGCGUGAGUGAUGAAGGCCUUAGGGUUGUAAAGCUCUUUUGUCCGGGAAGAUAAUGACUGUACCGGAAGAAUAAGCCCCGGCUAACUUCGUG